UACAGAGGUCUCAAGCGUUUGUUCGGAUUCAUUGAGCGUAAAGGGUGCGUAGGCGGCGCGGUAAGUCGGAUGUGAAAUCUUGGAGCUUAACUCCGAAACUGCAUUCGAUACUGCCGUGCUUGAGGACUGGAGAGGAGACUGGAAUUUACGGUGUAGCGGUGAAAUGCGUAGAUAUCGUAAGGAAGACCAGUGGCGAAGGCGGGUCUCUGGACAGUUCCUGACGCUGAGACACGAAGGCCAGGGGAGCAAACGGGG
rnacentral:rRNA from 1 species